AUGGCCACCUCCAGCGUGGAAAAGAGUAGCAACAAGAAAACCGAGAAGAAACUUGCGGCUCGUGAAGAAGCCAAGCUGCUGGCAGGGUUCCUGGGCGUCAUGAACAACACGAGGAAACAGAGAACAUUAUGUGAUUAUGUGAUGUAAUCCUUAUGGUCCAAGAAAGAAAGAUACCUGUUCACCAUGUUGUCCUGGCUGCAGCCAGUCACUCUUUUAACUUAAUGUUCACAGCUAACAUGCUUGAAUCUACGUCCUUUGAAGUAGAACUCAAAGAUGCUGAACCUGAUAUUAUUGAACAACUGGUGGCAUUUGCUUAUACGGCUAGAAUUUCUGUGAAUAGCAACAAUGUUCAGUCUUUGUUAGAUGCAGCAAAUCAGUACCAGAUUGAACCUGGGAAGAAAAUGUGUGUUGAUUUUUUGAAAGAACAAGUUGAUGCUUCAAAUUGUCUUGGUAGAAGUGUGCUUGCAGAGUGUCUGGACUGUCCUGAACUGAAAGCAACAGCUGUCGACUUUAUUCAUCAGCAUUUCACUGAAGUUUACAAAACCGACGAAUUUCUACAACAUGAUGUCAAGCGAGUGACACAUCUUCUCAGCCAGGACACCCUGACUGUGAGAGCAGAGGACCAGGUUUAUGACGCUGCCGGGAGGUGGUUGAAAUAUGAUGACCCUAACUGCCAGCCAUUCAUGCUAAAGUCAGCCAUUCAUGCUAAAAUCAGGUUUCCUCCUAUAUUGAAGAAUUUCCUAAGUGAAACAGUACAAGCUGAACCACUUAUUCAAGAUAAUUCUGAAUGCCUUAAAAUAGUGAUAAGUGGAAUGAGUUACCAUCUACUGUCUCCUGAGGAUAGAGAAGAACUUGCAGGUGGCACACGGCCUAGAAGAAAGAAACGUGAUUACAGAAUAGCUCUGUUUGGAGGCUCUCAACCACAGUCCUGUAGAUAUUUUAACCCAAAGGAUUACAGUUGGACAGACAUUCACUGCCCCCUUUGAAAAAUGAAGAGAUGCAGCAUGUGUGUUUUGGGACAAUGUAGUAUACUCUUUGGGAGGUUCUCAGUUUUCCCCAGAAAGCGAAUGGAUUGCUACAAUGUUGUAAAGGAUAGCUGGUAUUCCAAACUGGGCCCUCCAACACCUGGAGAAAGCCUUGCUGCCUGUGCUGCAGAAGGCAAAAUUUAUACAUCUGGAGGUUCAGAAGUAGGAAACUCAGCCCUAUAUUUGUUUGAAUGCUAUGAUACAAGAACUGAGAGUUGGCACACGAAGCUCAAUGCUGCUAACUGAGCACUGCAGCCAUGGGAUGGUGGAGGCCAAUGGCCUCAUCUAUGUUUGUGGCGGAAGCUUAGGAAACAAUGUUUCUGGGAGAGUGCUUAGUUCCUGUGAAGUGUAGGAACCUGCCACAAAAACAUGGGCUGAGCUGUGUUCAAUGAUUGAGUCCAGGAAGAAUCAUGGGCUGGUGUUUGUGAAGGGCAAGAUAUUUGCUGUUGGUGGUCAGAAUGGUUUAGGUGGUCUGGACAAUGUGGAAUAUUACGAUAUCAAGUUAAAUGAAUGGAAGAUGGUGUCGCCCAUGCCAUGGAGGGGUGUGACAGUGAAGUGUGCAGCAGUUGGUUCUGUCAUCUGUGUCCUGGAAGGUUUUCAGGGUGUAGGCAGAUUGGGGCACAUCCUUAAGUAUAAUACUGAAACAGACAAGUGGAUUGCCAACUCCAAAGUCUGGGCUUUCCCAGUCACAAGUUAUCUAAUUUGUGUCGUUGAUACUUGUGGAGCAAAUGAAGAGACCCUCGAAACAUGAACGGUGAAUGGACUCCCACGCAUCUGAAACUUAGAGAUAUGGCCACCAGUGGUUUAUUCCAAGAACUUGGUUAUGAAGUUCUGAUCUAAUAUUUUGAUAAAGUAAGAUUCCAGUAAGAUAACAGUUUAUAUUAUCUGGACCUCCUUACUUAAUUCAAAGACCAUAUUCUAUUUGGCCAUGUAACCAAGAACCUAUCAGCCAGAAAACAUGAAAAGUUACAAGCACUUCUUGAAAUCAUGAAUUGCAAAUAUGUAACUGAUUGUGGCAGAGUGGGGCAUGCUCAUCAGAGAAGUAGCCUCAGCUUAGCUCUAGAUUCUGUUUUCAUAAUUGUGUAAGUGCUGUGUAUUUAGGUCUUUUGUUUCAGUUUGGUCAAGAACUAAGUAGUAGUAUGAAUUACAAUCUGAGAUUGUAAACUCUGAUAGAAUAACUGUAAUAGUGUUGUGUAUUUUGCUUGUCUUCACUUAUUUCAUUUAGUGCCAAAUUAUUUCAUUUUAAAGUAAGCAAGAGUAGCUCAGACAUACAUACUUUCUCACAAAACUUCACAGAUUUUUGGGACUUAACUGUACUCAAUUACUCCUGAAAUAUAUUCAGUCCAAUUAAGUGAAAAUUACACAUUUCUGUAUAAAAUAUUAAGCUUAGCACCCAUCAUUAAUUUAUAUGGUUUUACUCAGCAGUGUAAAAAGUGUUCUAUAUCCUCAUUCUCUACUGCGAGAGCCAAUCAGAACGAUUAACCAGCAGAAGAAAAGCUGUUGGUAGAAAUUUCUAGAUUACUAGAAAAGCACUGAUAAUUGUAGCCCAGUAUCAUGUGGAUUUUAAAAAAUACGGUUUUCUUUUCUCCUAGCAGAACACAUUAGAGAUAAGUGAGUUUUCUCUAAAAGGUUUGUAAUAAUUGGCAUUUAAAUAUAUCAUUAUCCAUUGCUUUUAUGUGGACAACAAAUUACCAAAUGGCCUAUUAAUUUUUCCCAGUAAUGUUUUACCCUUUGACUAUGUAUGAAAUGUGCCAUGUUAAACUGUCAAUCAAUGUUUUUAUCUGAUAUUAAAUAUUUU